rnacentral:rRNA from 1 species
GUGGCCCAACGGCGGUCGGCGGAAACGUCUGUACUGCCGGUUUUCGGACUACCUCUUUCUGGGGGAACGUCGGCCCUUAACUGGGCUCGGCGGGUAACCAGGACGUUUACUUUGAAAAAAUUAGAGUGUUUAAAGCAAGCGUACGCUUGAAUACAUUAGCAUGGAAUAAUGAAAUAGGGCUUCAGUUCUAUUUUGUUGGUUUUCAGAAUCCGAAGCA